UACGAAGGGGGCUAGCGUUGCUCGGAAUCACUGGGCGUAAAGCGCACGUAGGCGGCUUUCUAAGUCAGGGGUGAAAUCCUGGAGCUCAACUCCAGAACUGCCUUUGAUACUGGAACGCUUGAGUUCGGGAGAGGUGAGUGGAACUGCGAGUGUAGAGGUGAAAGUUCGUAGAUAUUCGCAAGAACACCAGUGGCGAAGGCGGCUCACUGGCCCGAUACUGACGCUGAGGUGCGAAAGCGUGGGAGCAACAGG
rnacentral:rRNA from 1 species